rnacentral:misc_RNA from 1 species
GUAUCAGAGGGGGCGGUACGAAACACUCAGGUGUACACGAGUAAAACAGUAACAUGGCGGUCCUAGACAGAAGUAGGGGUGGAUACAGAGUGUUCGUCGGGGAUUUGGGCAGUCGAGUUGGAAAACAUGAAUUGGAAAGGGAGUUUGGAGUUAUGGGAGACAUCACAGAUGUCUGGGUCGCAAGGAACCCGCCAGGCUUUGCAUUCCUUGUUUUCAAGUGUUCUGAUGAUGCAGAGCGAGCUGUGAGAAAGCUCCACGGAAGGUUAGUGUGUGGUCGGAGGGUGCGAGUCGAGCACGCCAUUCCUUAUGAGGAGAGAGCAGCAGCUGCCAUGCGCAGUAACAGACAGAGUGGUGACUACAAAUACACAUCACAUUCCUACCCCAGAUCUCGCUCAAAGUCACGCUCCCAGACACGGUCAUCAUUAAGGAAACGAAGGAGACAUUCUCGCUCCCUUUCUAAGGAAAACCGGUAUAAAAAAAGCAAAAGGUCAAGGUCAUACUCAAGGUCACAUUCCAGGUCAAGGUCCCCUAUGAGUAAGAGAUCAAGAAAUGGGCGAAGAUCUACAUCACAACACAGGAAAAACAAGUCCAAGUCAUAUUCCCGCUCAAGGUCAAGGUCUAGUUCAAUGACAAGGUCACAUAAGAGAAAGAAAAACAGGAGGUCAGGAUCUUCUUCCAGAGAUAGGAAGAAAACUUGCAGAAGAUCCAAGUCAAGACAAAACACACAUUCAAGAUCCAAGUCCCCCAGACAUGCUGUGAAUGGCAAGUCUAUCACCUUGUCUCGACAAAGCUCAUCAGUGUCACAGGGAAGCAGUUCCAGGUGUCCGUCAUUACGACAGAAACCAGAUGAUCUGACCAGUAGUAAAAACCUGUCUAAGGGGUCGCGGCCAUCGUCACCAGGGAUACAAUCCCACGGGGAAAGGUCACCACAGACAUCAACAAAAAAGGACCAACUGUCACCUAUCUCUAGUCAACAACAUCCAGAGCUAGAAAACAGCCACACAAAUGGCAGGGCAAGGGCAAGGGCAGGGUCUAGGUCAAGAUCUAGGUCUAGGUCAAGGUCAAGGUCAAGGUCUUUGUCUCCUGUCACUGAAAAGCAAUCAUCACAUGAUAAUCUGGAAUCGCCCUCAUUCGACAUUGACAUGACGCAUGACCCUGGCUCUGAUCCCUUGGAACUCCAGACAUGUAAUCACCAGUUCAAGCACAAUGUACCACCAGAGGAUAGCAGGAAUGAUAGCGACGACAGUGACAAACCAUGGAAAAGAAAAUCAUUAUUACACAUACUACCAACCAAUCGAACGGAGGAAACUCAACUACUCCAACCACUACUUACAUUGGAUGUAACUCCAGCUACACAAACCAACUACACAAAGGGGAUGUAACUCCAGCUACACAAACCAACUACACAAAGGGGAUGUAACUCCACCAACUAAAAUACACCACCUACUCCAUUGAAAUAUUCCAACUACACAGCUGGCCAUCUACUCAAUACCAGACUCUGUACCCUUAAGGAGGUAAAUGUCACUGACAGUAUCACACUUGUAAGGGAGAUAACCCAAUCACCUACUGAAGAGCUCCACAACAUUGAAGUAGAUGCCUCAUCUAACAUACGCUCAAGGGAGAUCACUCUGGCACCACCUUUCCCCUACCAGUUGAAAGGAUGACUGAUACCAUGCCAACUGUGACGACUGAUAGGAUUUGUUACUUGAUCACUCAGAGCUCACCAUGACUGCUCACCUACCCAUACAACAGUCUCAUGGUCACACAGACCCUCCUAUAUUGGUUACACACGGUCACCACAAACCCCGGCCGAAAGUUGUGGACUUGUCAUGGAGAUGAUGAUAUAGCGACAACACCGGAGUCACGUAACAUUGAAUCAGAUCCCACAACUCACGUUACAGGCAUUCCAAGC